AGAGCCUGCAUGUGAGAGUGCCUCAACCUCAUCCUGCCCAUAAUGUGCAUGUUAUGCAGACUCAAUCUUGGCAACGUUGGAGGACUCACCACUGCGGGUCUGCCCAGUUAGACCAAAACAGCGUGCUGCAUCAGACAUCGGUGAAGGUACACUGCGGCCCUGUCAUGGACCUUGUAGACGUGUAUGGAAGGCUUUGAAGCAACAACAGUGUACACGAAUGGCUCCCAUUUGUCAGCAAGCUUUCGUUUCCCUCUACAACCCUUGUUAGCCACAAGCACUUGGUCACCAACGGCUAGAGGUCACUUCCUGUUUUAUCAUUUGCAUGAAGAGAUAGAAUGAUGUUAUCAUCGCAAAGUUUAAGUGCAACAGAGAUUUAACAUCAGACC
ensembl:lncRNA